rnacentral:rRNA from 1 species
CAAGCGAUGUGGAGGCAAACCCCUAAAAAACGUUCUCAGUUCAGAUUGCAGGCUGCAACCCGCCUGCAUGAAGUCGGAAUUGCUAGUAAUCGCGGAUCAGCAUGCCGCGGUGAAUACGUUCCCGGGCCUUGUACACACCGCCCGUCACACCAUGGGAGCCGGUAAUACCCGAAGUCAGUAGUCCAACCUCGUGAGGACGCUGCCGAAGGUAGGAUUGGCGACUGGGGUGAAGUCGUAACAAGGUACC